rnacentral:rRNA from 1 species
ACGGAAGGCAGCAGUGGGGAAUAUUGGGCAAUGGGCGCAAGCCUGACCCAGCAACGCCGCGUGAAGGAAGAAGGCUUUCGGGUUGUAAACUUCUUUUAUGUAGGACGAAGAAAAUGACGGUACUACAUGAAUAAGCCACGGCUAACUACGUGCCAGCAGCCGCGGUAAUACGUAGGUGGCAAGCGUUAUCCGGAUUUACUGGGUGUAAAGGGCGUGUAGGCGGGAAGGCAAGUCAGAUGUGAAAACUAUGGGCUCAACCCAUAGCCUGCAUUUGAAACUGUUUUUCUUGAGUAUCGGAGAGGCAGGCGGAAUUCCGUGUGUAGCGGUGAAAUGCGUAGAUAUACGGAGGAACACCAGUGGCGAAGGCGGCCUGCUGGACGACAACUGACGCUGAGGCGCGAAAGCGUGGGUAGCAAACAGGAUUAGAUACCCUGGUA